rnacentral:rRNA from 1 species
AGCCAGACUCCUACGGGAGGCAGCAGUGGGGAAUAUUGCACAAUGGGGGAAACCCUGAUGCAGCGACGCCGCGUGAGCGAUGAAGUAUUUCGGUAUGUAAAGCUCUAUCAGCAGGGAAGAAGAUGACGGUACCUGACUAAGAAGCCCCGGCUAACUACGUGCCAGCAGCCGCGGUAAUACGUAGGGGGCAAGCGUUAUCCGGAUUUACUGGGUGUAAAGGGAGCGUAGACGGCGAUGCAAGCCAGAUGUGAAAGCCCGGGGCUCAACCCCGGGACUGCAUUUGGAACUGUGUGGCUGGAGUGUCGGAGAGGCAGGCGGAAUUCCUAGUGUAGCGGUGAAAUGCGUAGAUAUUAGGAGGAACACCAGUGGCGAAGGCGGCCUGCUGGACGAUGACUGACGUUGAGGCUCGAAAGCGUGGGGAGCAAACAGGAUUAGAUACCCUCGUAU